GACGAACCGGUGCGAACGUUGUUCGGAAUCACUGGGCUUAAAGGGCGCGUAGGCGGGCAAGCAAGUCCGGGGUGAAAGCUUUCGGCUCAACCGGAAAGGGCCUUGGAUACUGCUUGUCUGGAGGGAGGUAGGGGCCCGUGGAACUUCCGGUGGAGCGGUGAAAUGCGUUGAUAUCGGAAGGAACGCCGGUGGCGAAAGCGACGGGCUGGAUCGUCUACUGACGCGUGAGGCGACGAAAGCCAGGGGAGCAAACGGG
rnacentral:rRNA from 1 species